AUGCUGAAGUAUGAAGUUGAUAUGGGAGACAAGGAAAUGCAACAGAUAGAAUGUUGCGUACUAGAAGAGUUUCCGCCAAAUCCCAAGCCAAAAGAACAUAUUAUGCAUGCGACAACCACAAAAGAGCAUGAAGUUAUUGAUAUAUCCAGUAAACACAAAAAGGUUAUGGAUGUCAGCAGACACGCCGUCGCCCAAGAAUCUUGCACAGACCACGAAGAAAAGGAUCCACCAAUAGAACCAGAUCAACCACCACCAGACGACAAGAUACCACACCAUUCUGAAGAGCAAACAAACGAGCAAAAUAUCAACAGCAAUACCCCGAGCACAGAUCAACUUGAACAAACAGGCACUGAUUUAAAAGAGGAUGGCACAAACAACGACGUACCAAAUACACAAGAAUAG
rnacentral:rRNA from 1 species